ensembl:lncRNA
UGUUUGGUCUGCAGACUCUGGUGAGACAUUGUUUUCUUAGAUAAAAUGAAGUCAACUAAUCAGAAAUAACCUUUUUUUUCCCAUGGAUUUUCAAUUUUCAUUACAAUAAUAGUAUGUAGUAAUAUAAAAAUAACAAUAAUCAUAAUAAUCCACACUCCAUUUAAGAACAUAGAAUGAAAAGGAAAGGGAAAAAUACAAACAGGUAAACAAAAGACACCUCAAUCUGUAAGAAAAAUGAAACCGAUAGUCCUUCAGAAAUUUGUUAUUCUUUUUAUUUAUGAGUUUAAGAGAGUUUGCAGAAAUCUGGACAAGACAGGCAAAGUAAGCAAAAUAAAAUAAAUUCCGAUCCAAACCAAAAAAAAAAAUUUGUUCAAUGUAUGGUUACUGCUAGAAAAAUAAAGAAAUAUAUACGUCAGCAAAAAAUGUUAAUCACAUUAAAGGAGAUAAAAAGCAACUUAAAUUCUCCCAAAGGUAAUGUACUCUGUCUGAUUGCAAUGAUAAAAUAAAUGAAAACAAGCUUCUUCCUUAAUUUUAUAGAAUACACAAGUUAUUUUAAGUUGGAAUGUAUUUUUGUUUUUUUUAAUUGUAUGAAUAUGAAUUUGUUUGGCAUUGACUACUUUAUGAUUCAUGUUUUUUUGUGUGUGUUUUUUUAAGGUUAUCAUGUGGAUGUUAUGGAAUGACCAGAGCACUGCUAAAAUAUCUGACAAGAUUGAAAACUUUUUUCCUAAAAGCCUCCCAGAGUAUCACAAAUGUAGCCGCAGGAACAUGGAGCUGAUGCAGAAAAACCGGGAAGAUUUCAAGUCCUUUGCUCAUGUUCUGGCCAGAGACAGGGAUAUGCGUGAGACUUACAUUCGGGAUUUAAUGGAAGAGCAAUAUGGUGAAUGCUAUGCACAGAAACUGGAGGAGAGACUUUCACACUAUUUGGGAGAGCUAGAUAAAAUCCUGCCACAACCUACGUGUAUUGAACAGUUACUGAAGCAGUCCUAUUCAUAUGGGAGGGGAGAGAAGAUCCUGAAAAAAAUACUUUCAAUUAAAAGUGCCUCUCUAGCCUCAGCUCUGAAAAGACUCCUAAAUUGCGCUGUAACAACAAAUCUAAGCCUUGACGACAGUCUCACACCAUCGCUUUCAAACACUUGUGAGGAGCAAAGGGAUGCUGAAGUUGUUAAACCAUCCCAUGGUACCCUCCGUGUAUUUUUGAGGUCAUCUCAGAACAGCACAAAAGAGGAUGGAAUCUCACAAACCAGCUCAAAAGAGCUCUUUUGUUCUCAGGGCUUGUGGCAAAAUAGAAACACAGAAACCAUUUUACCUCAAGUGAAGAUUUGUGGGGAUGGAGUAAUCGUUACCUCUACGCAGUUGUCAGAUUCUGAAAUAGAUCAGACUGACUUCAGCCAGUCUCUACAGGUGGAGAAGGACCUGCUUGGGAGGCAAAGACAGGCGAAGACUCAAUCUGAACCAGAACAGAAGGAAAGAGAGACGGAUUUCAAAGAGCAGAUGUGCUCCAGGCAUGGCAAAAAAAUGAGGAGCAUCCUUCAGGAAUGUUCUGAAGAG